GACGAACGCUGGCGGCGUGCUUAACACAUGCAAGUCGAACGGAAAGGCCCUGCUUUUGUGGGGUGCUCGAGUGGCGAACGGGUGAGUAACACGUGAGUAACCUGCCCUUGACUUUGGGAUAACUUCAGGAAACUGGGGCUAAUACCGGAUAGGAGCUCCUGCUGCAUGGUGGGGGUUGGAAAGUUUCGGCGGUUGGGGAUGGACUCGCGGCUUAUCAGCUUGUUGGUGGGGUAGUGGCUUACCAAGGCUUUGACGGGUAGCAGGCCUGAGAGGGUGACCGGCCACAUUGGGACUGAGAUACCGCCCAGACUCCUACGGGAGGCAGCAGUGAGGAAUAGUGCACAAUGGGCCGAAGCCUGAUGCAGCAACGCCGCGUGCGGGAUGACGGCCUUCGGGUUGUAAACCGCUUUCGCCUGUGACGAAGCGUGAGUGACGGUAAUGGGUAAAGAAGCACCGGCUAACUACGUG
rnacentral:rRNA from 1 species